UUACAAAACGUAUAAUCAUCAUAUGUCUGAAUGAUACAGAGAAGAUUAGCAUGGCCCUGGCGCAAGGAUGACCCUCACAAAUCGAGAAAUGAUCCAAAUGUUA